CGGCCUAGCCCAUUCUUCUCUCCUCCCCCGCUUUCUCCGCUCGCGACGGACCAGAAACACCACUGGCGGCGGUGCAAAGCACGACGCGAGAUGCCGGUGUCCAUGGCGGCUCGGCGGCUCCGCUCGACGGAGUAGCGUGCAACGGAGGGAUCCCGUGUGCUGCUCCAUCGACCGUGGCCACCCGUGCAGCUACACGACGUUUAUUGCGGGAUGCCGGAGGAGAGAGCACUGGUGCCAGGUCGGCCAUAAGUGCCCGCCGGCGGUGACGCGAGGCACUCGGCGUCAUCCAUCAGGCGCCGCUCCAGGCGCCGUAAACCUGCAGCUCGUCCGCCGCUGCGAAUGGCGACGGCACGCCUUCAACGAUGCUGCUGCAGCAUGAGGUACUGACGUUGACGCGCAUGGCGUGGUGGCCAUGCUCGUAGGCGUCCAUGAUUUGUGAGCGGCACGGCAACGUCUCUAAUCUGGAGCGGCAGGAUAGCCCUUGGCUCCACCUCAGCAUCUCCAGCAGUGAGGAGAUCGUCGGGGAGGAAGAGCAGCAGCUGGGCGAUGUAGCAGAUACAAGGGACGCCGCCAGCACGGCCCUGGAGGUGGCUGGCAGUGGUAGUUGGCCUUCACGUACCUCAACACAUCUUUAGGAUCGGGUGUUAGUGGUUAGACCGUAAAAGAACUCUUCCAAAACGAAAACCACUGUUCCUUAUAUAUGGGUGUGUGCUGGGUAUGUGGGACCAAAACCAAGUUGCUUCUGUGUGCCUCCGAUCAUAGCACAAAUCAUGGGGAGUCAACCCCCUUUUCUCUCUCUCAGUUUGUUACAGCUGAGAUCAAUUCCAACAAUGUCAAGAUCAAAUUUAUAGCA